rnacentral:rRNA from 1 species
UCGAGAAUCUUCGGCAAUGAGCGCAAGCUUGACCGAGCGACGCCGCGUGCGGGAUGAAGGCCUUCGGGUUGUAAACCGCUUUGGUCCGAGAGAAAGGGCAACUUGAUCGAUCGGAGAAACAAGGACGGGCUAAGUUCGUGCCAGCAGCCGCGGUAAGACGAACCGUCCAAACGUUAUUCGGAAUCACUGGGCUUAAAGGGCGCGUAGGCGGCCGAGCGGGUCGCGGGUGAAAUCCCCCAGCUUAACUGGGGAACUGCCCUCGAUACCACUGCGGCUCGAGGAAGGAAGGGGCAAUCGGAACUGUCGGUGGAGCGGUGAAAUGCGUUGAUAUCGACAGGAACGCCGGUGGCGAAAGCGGAUUGCUGGUCCUUUUCUGACGCUGAGGCGCGAAAGCCAGGGGAGCAAACGGG